rnacentral:rRNA from 1 species
AUUGAACGCUGGCGGCAGGCUUAACACAUGCAAGUCGAGCGGAGCGGCGGAGGGGGGCGUGAGGCCUAGGAAUCUGACUGGUAGUGGGGGAGAAGGUUAGGUAACGGGCGGUAAUACCGCAUACUCUCAGAUGAGCCUAGGGCGGAUUCGCUAGUUGGUGGGGUAAAGGCCCACCAAGGCGAUGAUCCGUAACUGGUCUGAGAGGACGAGCAGCCACACUGGGACUGAGACACGGCCCAGACUCCUACGGGAGGCAGCAGUGGGGAAUAUUGGACAAUGGGGGAAAGCCUGAUCCAGCCAUCCCGCGUGUAUGAAGAAGGUCUUCGGAUUGUAAAGCACUUUAGGUAGGGAGGCGUUACCAGCAGAAUAAGCACCGGCUAACUUCGUGCCAGCCGCCGCGGUAAUAC